CAGCGCCACAAGUGGCGGUCACGAUUAUUGGGCCUAAAGCGUCCGUAGCCGGUUAGGUAAAUCUCUUGUGAAAUCGACGCGCUUAACGUGUCGGCUUGCAGGAGACACUGCCCAACUAGGGACCGGGAGGAGUCAGAAGUAUGCAGUGGGGAUCGGUAAAAUGAAUUAAUCCACUGUAGACUACCAAUGGCGAAGGCAUCUGACCAGAACGGGUCUGACGGUGAGGGACGAAGGCUAGGGGAGCGAACCGGAUUAGAUACCCGAGUAGUCC
rnacentral:rRNA from 1 species